GUUUGCCUCUGGCUUGUGCUUCCUGGGGGAGAGGCAGUGGGUCUGCUGCGGGUUCCUAAAACAUUGACAUCUGUGAUGGUCUUCUGUAGUGAAACCAUUUUCCUAGCAGCAGCAUCAGGAUCCAGGAACAUUAUCCCUCAAUCACUGAAAAAGGAGCCUCUUUUCUCUGAGGGAUCUGUGAGAGCCAAGAUACACCCCAC
rnacentral:lncRNA from 12 species